AGCUGAUAUUCUGGGAUAGAGUUCGUCUUGAAAAUGAAAUAGAAGUGUUGGAUUCACUUAGUAGCUC
rnacentral:tRNA from 1 species